AACGGGUAGAGCCGGGCACUCUGGCGGGACUGCCAUCGACAAGAUGGAGGAAGGUGGGGAUGACGUCAAGUCAUCAUGGCCCUUAUGUCCAGGGCGACACACGUGCUACAAUGGCCGGCACAGCGGGAAGCGAGGCAGUGAUGCCGAGCGGAUCCCUUAAAGCCGGUCUCAGUUCGGAUUGAAGUCUGCAACUCGACUUCAUGAAGCUGGAAUCGCUAGUAAUCGCAGAUCAGCCAAGCUGCGGUGAAUACGUUCCCGGGCCUU
rnacentral:rRNA from 1 species